rnacentral:hammerhead_ribozyme from 1 species
UUCCAGCUGAUGAGUCCCAAAUGAGACGAAACGCUCGUCCUAGAU